UACGGGGGGGGCAAGCGUUGUUCGGAAUUACUGGGCGUAAAGGGCUCGUAGGCGGCCAACUAAGUCGGAUGUGAAAUCCCCAGGCUUAACCUGGGAACUGCAUCCGAUACUGGAUGGCUUGAAUCCGGGAGAGGGAUGCAGAAUUCCAGGUGUAGCGGUGAAAUGCGUAGAUAUCUGGAGGAAUACCGGUGGCGAAGGCGGCAUCCUGGACCGGCAUUGACGCUGAGUGAGCGAAAGCCAGGGGAGCAAACGGG
rnacentral:rRNA from 1 species